GAUUUGUCGCAUGGAUGCAUUUCUCAGGACACAUUUCCUGUUUGUGUCAGAUGAAGUCAGUGAGGCCUGGUGUCAAUGACGCUCUGGAUCUUCACACACCUGCCGGAGAUCCAGCAUCACACCUCGCAGCCCCAGAGUCGGACUGUGACCCAGAGUGCUCUGUCUCCUGGCCCAUGUCUCAUGUUGAUUGGUGGCCUCGUGUUGCCCGCUGAUCCAUUGUGAUGUCAUAUGUCUGUGCUGCUACCGGUUCCAUGGUAAACAGCCACUGAGGGAAGCUACAAAACCAGAAAGGUGUUUGGACUCUCAUUCUGGCGGCACCCACUCAAUGCAGAGGAUCCAUUGGUGAAAAAUGGGGCUGUAAAGUCGUGGUGGCAGUGCUGCAGUCCUGUGCUGCUCCCCUGAGCAAUUCCACAGCCUCUCAAACACAGAAGCAGCAUUUCAUGAAGAGAAGAAUGGUGUAGUUAUAGCAUUUUCCAGCAGAAGCUAACUGCUAACCACCAAAACCUGCUUUGAACCACACAGAACUACUGAAUGGAUCUGUUUAUUAACCCUUUAACCUCACUAGAAGCUCAUCAACACUCUGCUCAAUGUUUACUCCUCAAAAGGCCAGGAGUGAGCUGACACUGGCAACUUGUUCGUCUCAUUGCAAGACUCAUCAGCUGUGAAAUUCGCACAUGCUGUUCUGCUCACUGGGCUUUUCACCACAGGCAAAUGGCUUAUGAAGACAAUAAAAGGCAACAUGGAGGGUAAGGUAAUGGUUGAGAACAAUAACACCAGGAAGCACGGGGCCGGAUUUAGUGGCUGGUGCUGGUCUCAGCGUGUCCGCCAUGAAGGUGAUGGACCGCAAGAGACACAAGACAGCUUGCUGUUCUCCAUUUCAUCCCAUUUUCAUAAUCAUAAGGCGUCCUAGAGCUACAGCUCUGCCAAUAUUAUGUAGGCCACAUUGGGAGAAAACAUGAUUAUAUUACAGAAGAA
ensembl:lncRNA